AACAAAGAAGUAAAAUUUUACAUUUAGUUUCGACCUAAAAUUAAGGGUUAAAUACCUCAUGUUU
rnacentral:tRNA from 1 species